rfam:Gilliamella sp. N-G2 NODE_22, whole genome shotgun sequence.
AAUGUUAAACCGGGGUGCCUUAGGCUGAGAUUAUACCCGUUGAACCUGAUUCGGUUAGUACCGACGAAGGGAGUAUAAAACACGCUUUU